GUGUUCGUAGAAAGGAGAGAUGGUUUGCAUCUCCCCCCGACAGGGAUGGGAAUAGCCUUCAGGCUUUACCUGUUACCACACAUCCGGUUAAGGCUUAACACUUCGGUGGAUCUUACCCCAAAUUUUC